rnacentral:rRNA from 1 species
UACGGAGGGUGCAAGCGUUAUCCGGAUUCACUGGGUUUAAAGGGUGCGUAGGUGGGUUUGUAAGUCAGUGGUGAAUCUCCGUGCUUAACAUGGAAACUGCCAUUGAUACUAUAGAUCUUGAAUUUUCUGGAGGAUAGCGGAAUAUGUCAUGUAGCGGUGAAAUGCUUAGAUAUGACAUAGAACACCAAUUGCGAAGGCAGCUAUCUACAGGGAUAUGACACUGAGGCACGAAAGCGUGGGGGAUCAAACCGGA